rnacentral:rRNA from 1 species
AUGCAGUCGAGCGAACAGAUAAGGAGCUUGCUCCUUUGACGUUAGCGGCGGACGGGUGAGUAACACGUGGGUAACCUACCUAUAAGACUGGGAUAACUUCGGGAAACCGGAGCUAAUACCGGAUAACAUUUGGAACCGCAUGGUUCUAAAGUGAAAGAUGGUUUUGCUAUCACUUAUAGAUGGACCCGCGCCGUAUUAGCUAGUUGGUAAGGUAACGGCUUACCAAGGCGACGAUACGUAGCCGACCUGAGAGGGUGAUCGGCCACACUGGAACUGAGACACGGUCCAGACUCCUACGGGAGGCAGCAGUAGGGAAUCUUCCGCAAUGGGCGAAAGCCUGACGGAGCAACGCCGCGUGAGUGAUGAAGGGUUUCGGCUCGUAAAACUCUGUUAUUAGGGAAGAACAAACGUGUAAGUAACUGUGCACGUCUUGACGGUACCUAAUCAGAAAGCCACGGCUAACUACGUGCCAGCAGCCGCGGUAAUACGUAGGUGGCAAGCGUUAUCCGGAAUUAUUGGGCGUAAAGCGCGCGUAGGCGGUUUCUUAAGUCUGAUGUGAAAGCCCACGGCUCAACCGUGGAGGGUCAUUGGAAACUGGGAAACUUGAGUGCAGAAGAGGAAAGUGGAAUUCCAUGUGUAGCGGUGAAAUGCGCAGAGAUAUGGAGGAACACC